CCUACGGGUGGCAGCAGUGAGGAAUAUUGGUCAAUGGACGAGAGUCUGAACCAGCCAAGUAGCGUGAAGGAUGACUGCCCUAUGGGUUGUAAACUUCUUUUAUAAAGGAAUAAAACGAGGCACGUGUGCCUUUUUGCAUGUACUUUAUGAAUAAGGAUCGGCUAACUCCGUGCCAGCAGCCGCGGUAAUACGGAGGAUCCGAGCGUUAUCCGGAUUUAUUGGGUUUAAAGGGAGCGUAGAUGGGUUGUUAAGUCAGUUGUGAAAGUUUGCGGCUCAACCGUAAAAUUGCAAUUGAUACUGGCAGUCGUGAGUACAGUUGAGGUAGGCGGAAUUCGUGGUGUAGCGGUGAAAUGCUGAGAGAUCACGAAGAACCCCGAUUGCGAAGGCAGCUUACUAAACUGUGACUGACAUUGAUGCUCGAAAGUGUGGGUAUCAAACAGGAUUAGAUACCCCAGUAGUC
rnacentral:rRNA from 1 species